rnacentral:rRNA from 1 species
ACGGAAGGUCCGGGCGUUAUCCGGAUUUAUUGGGUUUAAAGGGAGCGUAGGCCGCCUGGUAAGCGUGUUGUGAAAUGUCGGGGCUCAACCUGGGCAUUGCAGCGCGAACUGUCAGACUUGAGUGCGCGGGAAGUAGGCGGAAUUCGUCGUGUAGCGGUGAAAUGCUUAGAUAUGACGAAGAACUCCGAUUGCGAAGGCAGCCUGCUGUAGCGCAACUGACGCUGAAGCUCGAAAGCGUGGGUAUCGAACAG